rnacentral:rRNA from 1 species
CGGAGGGUGCAAGCAUUGAUCGGAAUUACUGGGCGUAAAGGGCGCGUAGGCGGCUUUUCAAGCUAGAUGUGAAAUUCCGGGGCUCAACCCCGGAGCUGCAUUUGAAACUAAAGAGCUAGUGGCUAGUAAGGGAAAACAGAAUUCCACGUGUAGCGGUGAAAUGCGUAGAUAUGUGGAAGAAUACCGGUGGUGAAGACGGUUUUCUGUGCUAAGCCAGACGCUGAGGCGCGAAAGCUAGGGGAGCAAACAGGAUUAGAUACCCUGGUAGUCCUAGCCGUAAACGAUGUAUACUGGAUGUAGGAAGGCUCAACCCUUUCUGUAUCGGAGCUAACGCGUUAAGUAUACCGCCUGGGGAGUACGCUCGCAAGGGUG